AGAGUUUGAUCCUGGCUCAGGAUGAACGCUGGCGGUAUGCUUAACACAUGCAAGUCGUACGAGAGUUUUUAACUCUAGUGGCGGACGGGUGAGUAACACGUGAGAAUCUGCCCUAAGGAGGGGGAUAACAGCUGGAAACGGUUGCUAAUACCCCAUAUGCCGAAAGGUGAAAGGAAAUAUCUACCUUAGGAAGAGCUCGCGCCUGAUUAGUUAGUUGGUGAGGUAAUGGCUCACCAAGACCAUGAUCAGUAGCUGGUUUGAGAGGACGAUCAGCCACACUGGGACUGAGACACGGCCCAGACUCCUACGGGAGGCAGCAGUGGGGAAUUUUCCGCAAUGGGCGAAAGCCUGACGGAGCAAUACCGCGUGAGGGAUGAAAGCCUGUGGGUUGUAAACCUCUUUUCUCAAGGAAGAAGUUCUGACGGUACUUGAGGAAUAAGCAUCGGCUAACUCUGUGCCAGCAGCCGCGGUAAUACAGAGGAUGCAAGCGUUAUCCGGAAUCACUGGGCAUAAAGCGUCUGUAGGUGGUUUGAUAAGUCUGCUGUUAAAGACUAGGGCUUAACCCUAGGAAAGCAGUGGAAACUGUUAGACUUGAGUGUGGUAGAGGUAGAGGGAAUACCUAGUGUAGCGGUGAAAUGCGUAGA
rnacentral:rRNA from 1 species